rnacentral:rRNA from 1 species
UGGGGAAUUUUGGACAAUGGGCGAAAGCCUGAUCCAGCAAUGCCGCGUGUGUGAAGAAGGCCUUCGGGUUGUAAAGCACUUUUGUCCGGAAAGAAAUCCUUGGCUCUAAUACAGUCGGGGGAUGACGGUACCGGAAGAAUAAGCACCGGCUAACUACGUGCCAGCAGCCGCGGUAAUACGUAGGGUGCAAGCGUUAAUCGGAAUUACUGGGCGUAAAGCGUGCGCAGGCGGUUUGCUAAGACCGAUGUGAAAUCCCCGGGCUCAACCUGGGAACUGCAUUGGUGACUGGCAGGCUAGAGUAUGGCAGAGGGGGGUAGAAUUCCACGUGUAGCAGUGAAAUGCGUAGAGAUGUGGAGGAAUACCGAUGGCGAAGGCAGCCCCCUGGGCCAAUACUGACGCUCAUGCACGAAAGCGUGGGGAGCAAACAGGGUUAGAUACCCUGGUAGUCCACGCCCUAAACGAUGUCAACUAGUUGUUGGGGAUUCAUUUCCUUAGUAACGUAGCUAACGCGUGAAGUUGACCGCCUGGGGAGUACGGUCGCAAGAUUAAAACUCAAAGGAAUUGACGGGGUCAUAGCUG